GGGUCAGUAGGUUGGUCGUGCCACCGGUACGUACUGGUCUCACUGAUUCCUCCUUCCUGAAGAACCGUAAUGCCAUUAAUUUGGUGUUGCGGGGAGACAGGACUGUUACUUUGAAAAAAUUAGAGUGUUUAAAGCAAGCUAACGCUUGAAUUCAUUAGCAUGGAAUAAUGAAAUAGGACGAUCGAUCCUAUUUUUUUGGUUUCUAGGAUUGACGUA
rnacentral:rRNA from 1 species